rnacentral:lncRNA from 1 species
UGGAAAUAGCAAAAGAUGAAGAAUUAAUUAGAUCAAAAGAUUACUUCUAAGAAUGCAAUUCAUCAAAGUCCUACAGUAUGAUAUUAAACCAUGCCUUCUAAUUGCAGACCAGCAGAGGAACACCACAUAGAGCUCCAUAAAUCCAGGAGUCAAGAAACCAGCAUUUACCUGUUUCAGCCAAAACAUAAUCAAGUACCAAGAAG